UGAGGAAUAUUGCACAAUGGGCGCAAGCCUGAUGCAGCGACGCCGCGUGUGGGAUGAAGGGGCUACGCCUCGUAAACCACUGUAGCCCGGGACGAAAAACGCCUUAGAGGCGUUAGGCGGUACCGGGAAAGUAAGGGUCGGCUAACUACGUGCCAGCAGCCGCGGUAAUACGUAGGACCCAAGCGUUGCCCGGAUUUACUGGGUGUAAAGGUGCGCAGGCGGAUGGGUAAGUCAGGGGUGAAAGUCUGCAGCUUAACUAUAGAAUUGCCUUUGAUAGUGCUCAUCUUGAGUGUGGGAGAUGUUGAUGGAAUUCCAGGUGUAGCAGUGAAAUGCGUAGAUAUCUGGAAGAACACCAGUUGCGAAGGCGGUCAACUGGCCCAUAACUGACGCUCAUGCACGAAAGCGUGGGGAGCAAACA
rnacentral:rRNA from 1 species